ensembl:lncRNA
GAUGUAGGUUCAAUCCCUGGUGGGGAAGAUCCUUUGGAGGAGAGCAUGCAACCCACUUCAGUGUUCUUGCCUGGAGAAUCCCAUGGACAGAGGAGCCUGGUGGGCUACAGUCCAUGGGGUUGCAAAGAGUCGGACAGGAAGCGACUUUGCACAUAUGUACAUAAUUUUCCCCAACUGCAUGCAUGCAGUUAUUUUUAGUCUCAUAGUUUCUUUGUAUUCUCUUGCUCAAGGAGAUGUCUGUCUUAAGUGCAAGCACUCUAGUAAAGGUUGCCAAGUUUCAGGUCCCAGCCUGACUCACAAGGACCUCUUUUUGGGAAGCAGACCCGCUCCAGAUGAAAACUGCUGACCACAAAAAUGUAGACCCUAGACUGGUUGAAACCAGAAAAUUGAUGAUGCUUGAAACUUCACCUAAAUGCCAACCAAUCCAAGAAUGGUCCACGAGCUGAUCAUGCCCUACUCCCUGAACACUGUGAUACUCCUCACUGCCCGCUCCAGAGUGGGUCACAGUCUUUAGGAC